GGUCCCUAGGCCCAGCCCCCCUGGAGCAGGCAGGUCCUUAGGCCCGGCCCUAGCCAGGCCCCCAGCAUAGAUUUAGGCAGGAGGGGAACAAGCACCUGGGAGGCGCAAGAAGAUGACUGCAGGCACAGGAGAGCAGCUGAGGUUGAGGCCACCUGCCAUGGCCCCAGAAGCGUGGCCUUGCCAGCAGGGAUAGCUGGCACCGAGGGAGCGGGCGGUGCUGAGUCCGGUGGUGUGAGCGUCUGAAUUAGCAUCCUCUUUCCAGAAGAGUCUCUUAGGAUGUUAAUUGUCAUCUGCCCCCUGGGAUGUUUCUAAGUAAACCUUCUACUAGCAAGGUCUAUUAGCAUGUUAAUGUCCUCCUCACUCCUGGAAUUCUCUUUGUAUCACUGGCUUAAUCGUCAAACAGCUUAAUUUACAGACACAAAAUUAAACUGGUUGCAAUUAAUCCAUAUUGGAUGGUCAAAGCUUGCAGUGUUGCAGUGGGGAUGUGACAGCCGACUCCCCCCCCCCCCCCCCCCCACAAACCCUGCCACAGAAGCUGCUUGGCAUGGCCGGCCAGGCCGUGCUGCCUCGGGGAGAUGCCAUACAGGCCGUGUUUCUCCCCACCUCUGCUCCAUGCCAGCCCUGUGGGCAGAGAGCUCUCCUCACGGCAAGUUUGCUGUCUGCAAAGAGAGAUUUGCCUACACUGCUCUGCCCCAGGAGAAUCCCUUCUCCUUGUCCCACCAAGCUUGGAGGUUGUGAAGCCACGGCUGGCUCCUUCGAGGCUGCAGGGAGCCCAGGUCUGACACGGGCAUGCACCAAAGCCAGAGUUUUGCUCCAGCUUUGGCGAAGACAAACUUGCGCCCGUUUAAUGAUAGAGGGCAAGGGGAGCUGA
rnacentral:lncRNA from 1 species